GAUGAACGCUGGCGGCGUGCCUAACACAUGCAAGUCGAGCGAAGCACUUUGCUUGGAUUCUUCGGAUGAAGAGGAUUGUGACUGAGCGGCGGACGGGUGAGUAACGCGUGGGUAACCUGCCUCAUACAGGGGGAUAACAGUUAGAAAUGACUGCUAAUACCGCAUAAGACCACAGGGUCGCAUGACCCGGUGGUAAAAACUCCGGUAGGUAUGAGAUGGACCCGCGUCCUGAUUAGCUAGUUGGUGGGGUAACGGCUCACCAAGGCGACGAUCAGUAGCCGACCUGAGAGGGUGACCGGCCACAUUGGGACUGAGACACGGCCCAA
rnacentral:rRNA from 1 species